GACAGAGGGGGCAAGCGUUGCUCGGCAUCACUGGGCGUAAAGGGCGCGUAGGCGGGAUGGCAAGUCGGUCGUGAAAUCUCUCGGCUCAACCGAGAAACGUCGGCCGAUACUGCCGUUCUUGAGGGAUGCAGAGGAGACUGGAAUUCCCGGUGUAGCGGUGAAAUGUGUAGAGAUCGGGAGGAACACCGGUGGCGAAGGCGGGUCUCUGGGCAUUUCCUGACGCUGAGGCGCGAAAGCGUGGGGAGCAAACGGG
rnacentral:rRNA from 1 species